rnacentral:rRNA from 1 species
UACGUAGGGUGCAAGCGUUGUCCGGAAUUAUUGGGCGUAAAGAGCUUGUAGGCGGUUUGUCGCGUCUGCUGUGAAAUUUCGGGGCUCAACCCCGAACUUGCAGUGGGUACGGGCAGACUAGAGGUAGGUAGGGGAGAAUGGAAUUCCCGGUGUAGCGGUGAAAUGCGCAGAUAUCAGGAGGAACACCGAUGGCGAAGGCAGGUCUCUGGGCCAUAACUGACGCUGAGAAGCGAAAGCAUGGGGAGCAAACAGG